AGUGAACGCUGGCGGUAGGCCUAACACAUGCAAGUCGAACGGCAGCACAGUAAGAGCUUGCUCUUACGGGUGGCGAGUGGCGGACGGGUGAGGAAUACAUCGGAAUCUACUUUUUCGUGGGGGAUAACGUAGGGAAACUUACGCUAAUACCGCAUACGACCUACGGGUGAAAGCAUGGGAUCUUCGGACCUUGCGCGACUGAAUGAGCCGAUGGCGGAUUAGCUAGUUGGCGGGGUAAAGGCCCACCAAGGCGACGAUCCGUAGCUGGUCUGAGAGGAGGAUCAGCCACACUGGAACUGAGACACGGUCCAGACUCCUACGGGAGGGAGCAGUGGGGAAUAUUGGACAAUGGGCGCAAGCCUGAUCCAGCCAUACCGCGUGUGUGAAGAAGGCCUUCGGGUUGUAAAGACCUUUUGUUGGGAAAGAAAAGCAGCAGGUUAAGACCCCGCUGUUCUGACGGUACCCAAAGAAUAAGCACCGGCUAACUUCGUG
rnacentral:rRNA from 1 species